UUCUCUCCCUUUGUAAGGAAAGCAACGAUGCAACUGUGUGGCUAAACAGUCCACCAGAGUAACAGAACUUCUUAAAGCGUUUAAAAUGCGCCAUAUUGCUUUCAGCAAUUGGACUGCUAACCGUCGUCAUCGAACGACCACUUCCGCUGCCACUCUGCUCUCCUGCUCUGGCCACAGACGGAGCAAUAAGUCGGAAAAACUGGCAUUCGAACCACCACUUCCGCUGCCACUCUGCUCUCCUGUCUCGAUCGAUAGCAAAUUUCUCCAUGUUGGCUGUCAUGGGCUCCCGCUUCCGCUGCAACUCUGCUCUCCUGCUCUCAUGAAUCCACCUCGCAGGUCCUCUCGUUGUUCUCUAUAAAUAUCUAUUCUCGUUGCCUCUCUCUAUAAAUAUCUAUUCCAUCAUCCACCGCUUCUGCUGCAAUUCUGCUGUCCUGCAGAUGCCAUACCACAGCAAGCAUGGAGCCCGCUCAGAUCACCGCGGCAGUUAUCACUGUUGUAAACACCUCACGCAUUAUCCUGCAGUAUAUGCAGAUCCAGAACCUGCAAAAGCAGGUGAGGAGGCGACGGCAGCGCGGUGACGAGAGUGAUGAGGACAUGGACACAGACUUCUCUCAAAGCACGGGCCCUGGCAAUGUGGACAUCAUGGUGGUUCAUGCUGUGGAAUGCCAACUCUGGGUCCAGGAAACAAGCACAGACCUCAGCGAAACCAAUAUCCCCAUAGUUAUUACUGCUUGCUGUGUGCUCCACAAUAUCUGUGAGAGUAAGGGGGAGACGUUUAUGGCGGGGUAGGUUGAGGCAAAUCGCCGGGCCGCUGAUUACGCGCAGCCAGACACCAGGGCAGUUAGAAGAGCACAACAGGGCACGCUGUGCAUCAGAGAAGCUUUGAAAACCAGUUUCAUGACUGGCCAGGCUACGGUGUCAAAGUUCUGUUUGUUCCUCCUUGAUGAAAACCCGCCCCCUUGGUUCACUCUACUUCCCUGUAAAACAACCGCCUUCCUCUCCCCCCUUCGAUCACUGCUUGCAGAGGCAAUAAAGUCAUUGUUGUUUCAAA